CCUACGUGUGGCAGCAGUGAGGAAUAUUGGUCAAUGGGCGCGAGCCUGAACCAGCCAAGUAGCGUGAAGGAUGACUGCCCUACGGGUUGUAAACUUCUUUUAUAAAGGAAUAAAGUGAGGCACGUGUGCCUUUUUGUAUGUACUUUAUGAAUAAGUAUCGGCUAACUCCGUGCCAGCAGCCGCGGUAAUACGUAGGGGGCAAGCGUUGUUCGGAAUGACUGGGCGUAAAGGGUGUGUAGGUGGUUUGAUAAGUUAGAUGUGGAAUACCCAGGGCUUAACUCGGGUGCUGCAUCUAAAACUGUUAGACUUGAGUACUGGAGAGGAUAGUGGAAGUCCUAGUGUAGCGGUGGAAUGCGUAGAUAUUAGGAGGAACAUCAGUGGCGAAGGCGACUAUCUGGACAGCAACUGACACUGAGGCACGAAAGCGUGGGGAGCAAACAGGAUUAGAUACCCUAGUAGUC
rnacentral:rRNA from 1 species